AGACGUGGCACUGAGGGACGCGGACACGCAUUGAGAAAGGUCCAACCAGGGCCCAUUAAAGCAUUCUGGAAUGGGGUGCUCAGCCACCACUAUCUCCUGCUGUGACAUGACCAGGCUGGGUGUUCAUGAGAGGACUGAACAACAGCAUACCAUGCAGACAUUGCUGGAAGAAAAUAAAACUUCAGCAACCAGAACAAUGUUGACUUCAGUUUUGCAGCUAUUUCACGUUUCCUUUCAAAAGGGAAAAGUAAUGAGGAGUCUGGGAGGACACAUUACCGCCGGCACCGAUCCUCCAUAUGCAUGUGAACUCAAGUAACCUCUUAUUCAUCCAGGCCCUGAAUUAGGAAGGCACAGUUCUGGACAAGCAUAUUGAUCUGGAUUCCUGUAACUAUCCCUUUGAA
rnacentral:lncRNA from 1 species